GACGAACGCUGGCGGCGUGCUUAACACAUGCAAGUCGAACGGAAAGGCCCUGCUUUUGUGGGGUGCUCGAGUGGCGAACGGGUGAGUAACACGUGAGUAACCUGCCCUUGACUUUGGGAUAACUUCAGGAAACUGGGGCUAAUACCGGAUAGGAGCUCCUGCUGCAUGGUGGGGGUUGGAAAGUUUCGGCGGUUGGGGAUGGACUCGCGGCUUAUCAGCUUGUUGGUGGGGUAGUGGCUUACCAAGGCUUUGACGGGUAGCCGGCCUGAGAGGGUGACCGGCCACAUUGGGACUGAGAUACGGCCCAGACUCCUACGGGAGGCAGCAGUGGGGAAUAUUGCACAAUGGGCGGAAGCCUGAUGCAGCAACGCCGCGUGUGGGAUGACGGCCUUCGGGCUGUAAACCGCUUUCGCCUGUGACGAAGCGUGAGUGACGGUAAUGGGUAAAGAAGCACCGGCUAACUACGUG
rnacentral:rRNA from 1 species